rnacentral:rRNA from 1 species
CUGCUUUUACUUUUUGUAUGGAGCUGGGAGCGUCUGCCUGUUGGACGCCCGAAGAGCGUCAGGUUUGAUCCUUGGUAUGCAGAUGAACAUGACGAAUUACGGCGCCCCACGUGGGCUUACAAGUGGGAUAUCGUUUCCGAGAUGACGAACGAUGUCAAUCUCAUGUACCAAAAGUACAUUGCCGAGUUGGACACGAUUACGCCUGAGCAGGUAAGGAGGUCAUUACUUUAG